GCUCUGCAGGGAGUGGUCUUGAGGGUCUGAGAAGUGGGGACCCCCAUGAGGGAAGGGGAUGGGGGACCAUCUGAGAGGGAUGAUCUUGGGCAUCUGAGGAUGGGGAAUCCCUGUGAGGGGAUUCAGGGGACCCCCCCCCUCCGUGAAGGAAGAGUUUGGGGGACUUUCAGAGGGGGACGAUCUUGGGGGUCUGAGGAGGGGGCACCCCCGUUAGGGAAGGGGUUGGGAACCCUCUGAGGGGGGUGAUCUGGGGGAUCUGAGGAGGUGGCACCCCCAUGAGGGAAGGGGUUGGGAACCCUCUCAGGGGGGCGAUAUGGGGGGUCUGAGGAGGGGGCAUCCCCGUGAGGGAAAGGGUUGGGAACCCUCUGAGGGGGCGAUCUGGGAGGGUCUGAGGAUGGAGGGACCCCGUAAGGGGAGUCGGGGGACCCCCCUCAUGAGGGAAGGGGCUGAGGGACCAUCUCUGGGGGAUGGUCCAGGAGGUUUUUUGAAAGCCGAAGAAUGGGAAGCUUUAGAUUAGAUAGUGGGGAGAAAUUAUUUGCUGUGUGGGUGGUGAGGCCCUGGCACAGGUUGCCCAGAGAACUGUGGAUUCGUCAUCCCUGGAAGUUGGAUGGGCCUUGGAGCAACUUGGGAUGGUGGAAGGUGUCCCUGCCCAUGGCAGGGGGUGGAAUGAGAUGAUUUUUAAGGUCCCUUCCAACUGAAACCAUUCCGUGCUUCCAAGAUGUUUCAAGGAUGUUAAAUACCAGGGAAAGAGUGGUAAAUGUAUCCCUCAUCCCAGUUUUUCCCAGGAAACGGUGCAGAACCAGGUGGAGACUGAUCCAGAGAGAACAAACCCCAUCACCAACACCGUGGCUCUCACCUCGCCCUUCGUUCUCACCACUCUCAUUCUUCAGCAGGUGCCAAACCCAUCUCAGGAACGAGGAUCUUUAGCUGGGCUGAAGGUUGGGAGGUGCUGAAGUCUCUUAAGCCUGCGGUGUUUUCACCUGCCAGACCAAGUAUUGCGUGAAAAUAAACCUGGUGAUGAAAUUGUUGCAAUGUUGUUGGCAAUUUAAGAGGUGGAAGCCAGUUUGCCUUAUUUUGGGCUGAGAAGUAGAUGAUGAUAAUACUUGGGUGACUUUGGGUUGUUUAUUUAUUUAGUGGAAACUAAAUAAAAUGAACAGCCUGUGGAUCCCCGAGGAAAUAAAUGGAUUUUUGUUAACCACCA